rnacentral:rRNA from 1 species
AGAGUUUGAUCCUGGCUCAGGAUGAACGCUAGCUACAGGCUUAACACAUGCAAGUCGCGGGGCAGCAUGGGGGUUGCUUGCAACCCCUGAUGGCGACCGGCGCACGGGUGAGUAACGCGUAUCCAACCUGCCCUUCACCACGGGAUAACCCGGCGAAAGUCGGACUAAUACCGUAUGUUGUCCAUUGACGGCAUCCGAUUUGGACGAAAGGCUUAGCGGUGAGGGAUGGGGAUGCGUCCGAUUAGCUUGACGGCGGGGUAACGGCCCACCGUGGCAACGAUCGGUAGGGGUUCUGAGAGGAAGGUCCCCCACACUGGAACUGAGACACGGUCCAGACUCCUACGGGAGGCAGCAGUGAGGAAUAUUGGUCAAUGGGCGGAAGCCUGAACCAGCCAAGUAGCGUGCAGGAUGACGGCCCUAUGGGUUGUAAACUGCUUUUGUAUGGGGAUAAAGUUAGGGACGUGUCCCUAUUUGCAGGUACCAUACGAAUAAGGACCGGCUAAUUCCGUGCCAGCAGCCGCGGUAAUACGGAAGGUCCAGGCGUUAUCCGGAUUUAUUGGGUUUAAAGGGAGCGUAGGCCGCCCCUUAAGCGUGUUGUGAAAUGCGGGUGCUCAACAUCCGACUUGCAGCGCGAACUGGGGGGCUUGAGUGCGCCGAAAGUAGGCGGAAUUCGUGGUGUAGCGGUGAAAUGCUUAGAUAUCACGAAGAACUCCGAUUGCGAAGGCAGCUUACUGUAGCGCAACUGACGCUGAUGCUCGAAAGCGUGGGUAUCGAACAGGAUUAGAUACCCUGGUAGUCCACGCGGUAAACGAUGGAUGCUCGUUGUCGGCCUUUAUGGUCGGUGACCAAGCGAAAGCGUUAAGCAUCCCACCUGGGGAGUACGCCGGCAACGGUGAAACUCAAAGGAAUUGAC